GAAAUGCGAUAACUAGUGUGAAUUGCAGAAUUCCGUGAAUCAUCGAGUCUUUGAACGCACAUUGCGCCCCCUGGUAUUCCGGGGGGCAUGCCUGUCCGAGCGUCAUUGCUGCCCAUCAAGCACGGCUUGUGUGUUGGGUCGUCGUCCCCUCUUCGGGGGGGACGGGCCCCAAAGGCAGCGGCGGCACCGCGUCCGAUCCUCGAGCGUAUGGGGCUUUGUCACCCGCUCUGUAGGCCCGGCCAGCGCUUGCCGAACGCAAAUCAAUCUUUUCCAGGUUGACCUCGGAUCAGGUAGGGAUACCCGCUGAACUUAAGC
rnacentral:misc_RNA from 1 species